ACCUCCACACUAAGAGUUGACAGAAGAGGU
rnacentral:piRNA from 1 species